GAUGAACGCUGGCGGCGUGCCUAACACAUGCAAGUCGAGCGAUCUUCUUCGGAAGAGAGCGGCGGACGGGUGAGUAACGCGUGGGUAACCUGCCCUGUACACACGGAUAACAUACCGAAAGGUAUGCUAAUACGGGAUAUUAUGCUUUUAUCGCAUGGUAGAAGUAUCAAAGCUCCGGCGGUACAGGAUGGACCCGCGUCUGAUUAGCUAGUUGGUAAGGUAACGGCUUACCAAGGCGACGAUCAGUAGCCGACCUGAGAGGGUGAUCGGCCACAGUAGAACUGAGACACGGUCCAAACUCCUACGGGAGGCAGCAGUGGGGAAUAUUGCACAAUGGGCGAAAGCCUGAUGCAGCAACGCCGCGUGAGCGAUGAAGGCCUUCGGGUCGGAAAGCUCUGUCCUCAAGGAAGAUAAUGACGGUACUUGAGGAGGAAGCCCCGGCUAACUACGUGCCAGCCGCCGCCGUAA
rnacentral:rRNA from 1 species